GGAGUAUGGGCCGUGUCUCAGUCCCAUUGUGGCUGAUCAUCCUCUCAAACCAGCUACUGAUCGUCGCCUUGGUGGUCCAUUACACCCCCAACUAGCUAAUCAGAUGCAGACUCAUCCCAGAGCACCGAAGUUUUCACGAAUAGCUUCUCAGCUACGCGCAUAUGCGGUAUUAGCAGUCGUUUCCAACUGUUGUCCCCCUCUCUAGGGCAGAUUCUCUACACAUUACUCACCCGUCCGCCACUUAUGUAUCUCCGAAGAGACCUUAUCGUUCGACUUGCAUGUAUGAAGCACGCCGCCAGCGUCGUCCUGAGCCACUGAUCAAACUCU
rnacentral:rRNA from 1 species